rnacentral:rRNA from 1 species
UACGGAGGAUGCAAGCGUUAUCCGGAAUGAUUGGUCGUAAAGCGUCCGCAGGUGGUUAUACAAGUCUGCUGUCAAAGCGCAAGGCUCAACCUUGUAAAGGCAGUGGAAACUGUGUGACUAGAGAGUGAUAGGGGCAGAGGGAAUUCCCAGUGUAGCGGUGAAAUGCGUAGAGAUUGGGAAGAACACCGGUGGCGAAAGCGCUCUGCUGGGUCAUAUCUGAGACUGAGGGACGAAAGCUAGGGGAGAGAAAGGG